rnacentral:rRNA from 1 species
UACGUAGGGUGCAAGCGUUGUCCGGAAUUAUUGGGCGUAAAGAGCUCGUAGGCGGUUUGUCGCGUCUGCUGUGAAAACUCGGGGCUUAACCCCGGGCCUGCAGUGGGUACGGGCAGACUAGAGUGCGGUAGGGGAGACUGGAAUUCCUGGUGUAGCGGUGGAAUGCGCAGAUAUCAGGAGGAACACCAACGGCGAAGGCAGCCCGCUGGGACGGUACUGACGCUAAGGCGCGAAAGCGUGGGGAGCGAACAGG